rnacentral:rRNA from 1 species
UGGGGAAUCUUGCACAAUGGGGGAAACCCUGAUGCAGCGACGCCGCGUGAGUGAUGAAGCCCUUCGGGGUGUAAAGCUCUUUCGGCAGGGACGAUAAUGACGGUACCUGAAGAAGAAGCUGCGGCUAACUACGUGCCAGCAGCCGCGGUAAUACGGGGGGUGCGAGCGUUGUCCGGAAUCACUGGGCGUAAAGGGCGCGUAGGUGGUCUGAUAAGGGUGUGGUGAAAGCCCGGGGGCUCAACCCCGGGUCGGCCGUGCCGACUGUUAGACUAGAGUACUGUAGGGGCAGGCGGAAUUCCGGGUGUAGCGGUGGAAUGCGUAGAGAUCCGGAGGAAGACCGGUGGCGAAGGCAGGUCUUCUUGGGCAUUAACUGACGCUGAGGAGCGAAAGCAUGGGGAGCGAACA